UUUUUUAUUUUGUCUAUCUAUUGUUUUAUUUGAAAACAGGUGAAUAAAUGGCUACAAUAUACACAACAAUUAAGGACAUCACUCCAACUACAGAAAGUUGGAAGAUUGAAAUGAGAGUGUUAGAAAAAUCUGGAAAGCGGACAAGCAAGAGUUCACCACUCAAAUAUCAAAAGCUUAUGUUAGCAGAUAAAAAGGGUAAUGAUGUUGAAGCAGUAAUAUUUGGCACUGAAAUUGAUGCUAUAGAAAACACUUUGAAAGUGUUCCACACUUACUACAUCAGCAACGCCUAUGUAAAAAAAAACAGCCCCACCUUUCGAUAAAAAGCAAGACUACAAAUAUUCUUGGACAGUGAACUCAAGAACAGAAAUCGAAGAAUUCCAAACAGAAGACAACCAGGUAUCAGCACCAAACUAUGAUUUCAUUCCGUUUAGCAACCUGCAUACACCUAAAGAAUUCAGCAAACCAAUAGGGCUGUCUCUAUCGUCACGCGACACGAGUACCUUCAAAAUCAAUCCUCAACUCCCAGAGGCAGAAGCACUGAAGGAAUGGGCGGAGAGUAACGAAACAGAAAUUAAAAACGCAAUAGCAAACUGCUUGACAUAUGAAUCUUCUCCAAAAUCUUUUGUUGGAUUACACGAAAUAGUGACUAACAUCCAAAUUUCAGAGUUGACGAAAAAUCUGCAAC